rnacentral:rRNA from 1 species
AAGGGCACCACAAGAACGCGUGGAGCAUGUGGCUUAAUUUGACUCAACGCGGGAAAUCUUACCGGGUCCGGACACACUGAGGAUUGACAGGCAAUAUUAAUACUUUUGCUUCGGCACAUUGUAUUAUGUUAAAUAUGCUAGUCCUUUCAUGAUUAUGUGAUAGGUGGUGCAUGGCCGUUCUUAGUUCGUGGAGUGAUCUGUCUGCUUAAUUGCGUUUCACUAAGGGCCUAUAAAUUUACGUAUGUUGCAUCGCACUUUGACCCCUUUCUUUAAUUAGAAAGCGCGUGUCUUAGUUUCGCUUUGCUCAUACAAUUAGGUCCUGAAAGCAACGAACGUGACCGCAACCUCUUGUUGCCUUUAUACCAAACAUGUUUAUUCAUUUUUUAAUGUUCAUUCAUGAAAAAAGGCUUUUUAAACUAGAGGGACCGCUGUUACUUUCUUAAACCAGAGGAAGGUUGCGGCAAUAACAGGUCUGUGAUGCCCUUAGAUGUUCCGGGCUGCACACGUGCUACAAUGAUUAUUGCAGUGAGCAUCUCAUUUUUACACACCGCAUGCGCGAGUCCAUUUAUUCACUUUCGGGUGUUUUAAAUGUGUACCUCUGCGCGCGGUAAAGCCUGCUUCGAAAGUAAGUGGGUAAUCAAUUAGAAGUAAUGAUUUCCUUUUUUUAGCACACAUAUAUACGGCGUCUAUGCCCGGGUUACCUUGUUGUAGCUUUUGUGCGUAUAGAUGUUUUUUCCGUAUGUGCGAUUGUCAAUUCAUGGUGGGGACAGACCAUUGUUAAUUGUUGGUCUCGGUCUUAACUAGGAAUGCCUUGUACGGGUCUUUGGUUCAACAAACCACCCGGAAUACGUCCCUGCCCUUUGUACACACCGCCCGUCGCUCUUACCGAUGGACUUCUCUGUGAGUUUGAGGGACUGGGAACGCAGGAAUUUAUUUCUGCACACCUAUGGAAACUUAAACGAACAGUGUGGUCUAAAGGAAAGAGAAGU